UACGUAGGGGGCAAGCGUUGUCCGGAAUUAUUGGGCGUAAAGAGCGUGUAGGCGGUCCGGUAAGUCAGCUGUGAAAGUCAAAGGCUCAACCCUUGAAUGCCGGUUGAUACUGUCGGGCUAGAGUCCGGAAGAGGCGAGUGGAAUUCCCGGUGUAGCGGUGAAAUGCGCAGAUAUCGGGAGGAACACCAAUGGCGAAGGCAGCUCGCUGGGGGUGUGCUGACGCUGAGACACGAAAGCCAGGGGAGCAAACGGGG
rnacentral:rRNA from 1 species